AGAGUUUGAUCCUGGCUCAGGGUGAACGCUGGCGGCGUGCCUAACACAUGCAAGUCGAGCGGGUACCCGCAAGGGUACCAGCGGCGCACGGGUGAGUAACACGUGGGUAAUCUACCCCUCGGAGGGGGAUAACCGGGGGAAACUCCGGCUAAUACCCCAUACGAUCCAACAACACAAGUUGUUGGAUGAAAGGAGCGUUUGCUCCGCCGAGGGAUGAGCCCGCGGCCCAUCAGGUAGUUGGUGGGGUAAUGGCCCACCAAGCCUACGACGGGUAGCCGGCCUGAGAGGGUGGUCGGCCACAAGGGCACUGAGACACGGGCCCUACUCCUACGGGAGGCAGCAGUGGGGAAUCUUGGACAAUGGGCGAAAGCCUGAUCCAGCGACGCCGCGUGGGGGAUGAAGCCCUUCGGGGUGUAAACCCCUGUUGCGAGGGAGGAAUAAGGCCUGGAGGAAAUGCCAGGCCGAUGACUGUACCUCGCGAGGAAGCCCCGGCUAACUACGUGCCAGCAGCCGCGGUAAUACGUAGGGGGCGAGCGUUACCCGGAUUCACUGGGCGUAAAGCGGGUGUAGGCGGCUCGGUAAGUCGGGUGUGAAAUCCCACAGCUCAACUGUGGAAUUGCGCCCGAAACUGCUGAGCUUGGGGCCGGUAGAGGGAGACGGAACUGCCGGUGUAGGGGUGAAAUCCGCAGAUAUCGGCAGGAACGCCGGUGGGGAAGCCGGUCUCCUGGGCCGCGCCCGACGCUGAGACCCGAAAGCUAGGGGAGCAAACCGGAUUAGAUACCCGGGUAGUCCUAGCCGUAAACGAUGCCCACUAGGUGUGGGGGAUUAAUUCCUCCGUGCUGUAGCUAACGCGUUAAGUGGGCCGCCUGGGGAGUACGCCCGCAAGGGUGAAACUCAAAUGAAUUGACGG
rnacentral:rRNA from 1 species